rnacentral:lncRNA from 1 species
GGGGAGCCCAUGGGGCUGGUCGGCUUGAUACCCUCUGUCCUGUCAUUGCAGGGUAUAUGGAUACCAGAGGAUCCCUCCACUCAUCAACCAGGUGUCCACUAAGUUCCGGAGGAGCUUUGUGGGCCUGGGGGUCAAGAGUGGCUACAGCCCCUACAAGGCCUCUAGGAGCAGACCCCUGCCCCCUGAGCAGAUAAAGCUGCACACCGAGGAGCUGCACUCCAUCCGGGGGGAGCUGAGCCAGAUCAAAGCCCAGGUGGACAGGCUGCUGGAAAGUCUGGAGCACAUGGACCAGCACAGAGCCCAGACUGCAGGAAUAAAUGACAGUGACAAGAACAAGGUCCUUGGUAAUGAGGGCUGCUCAUGUAGAACUACGGAGGUCCAACAGGAACCCGGGGACCAGAGGGGCUAUCUGGAGACUGACAGCUCAGAGGGAAGCACAGCCACAGAGCAGGCAGUGCAAAAUCAAACAUCUGACCAGGAGGGCAGCCAGUAGCAAGUGAGAACACCAGGCUCAUCAGCUCCAUGUCUUCCUGCUUGGCGCCCUGCCCCUCCUUGUUUCCUUCCUGAAAGCCUCCAGGUGUUACCCAUGCAACCUGAGCACCCAUUCUAGCACCAGGACAGUGGAAGUGAAGGCAUAGUUCAGGCCGGAAAGCUUCUGUAGUGUUGGGUUUAGCUUUGCCAAUUGUGUCCAUAAACCUGGGGUUAGCAAUGCUGGAGGGAGGCUCUGAAUGGCCCAGCAGCAUCCUCACAAAGCUGAGGCCUAGAGUGUCGGAGGCACCCUGGGAACACAGGGAGCACCACCAGCCUCCUGAAUGCAGACACUCCCUCAGCGGCUGCCCUCCUUGUCCCAAGCACCACAGCUCACAGCAGCCAGCCCAGCUUCCUCCAGCUGGUGGUGAAGCACAUUCGUGAUCCUCCAUUUUAACAACCAGCUGUUUAAGGCCCACGGCAUAUGCCCCACCUAAGCCACUUGGCUUCCAGACUCUGUCCCUCCCCAGCCAUCCUUUAGAAGGGGAGUACCAUGUGCUGUUUCUACUUUGUCUUUCAUUAGUACACUAUGUAUUUCAGAUCUGCUCUAGGAAAAUGUUAAAUGUCCUAAGGGGGGGAAAAAAAUAAAAGAUGCACUUCUUCCUGGUCAGGAGUUGUGGUCCCAGAACAUUCUGGUCCUUAGGCUGCAGGGGCCAGCCCUUCCUUUAGGAGCUAAA